AUGACACUGACAUGUGUCGAUACUUCAUUGGCUGAUGGAGUCAUGUUGAAAAUUCCCCACGUGAAAUGGGAGGUAGCCACUCAAGGUUUUUUUUCUGACUUACUGUAUUAUCUAUUUUUGCAUUUAUUCUCUUAUUAUGUACAUUUACAAUUAGGAUUUGUGUGUUUGGACCUUCCUUUAGACACUUGUUACUAA